ACAUAGGCCAAAACCGGGUUAUUUGGCCGUGAGGCCCGGACCCUCACACCGUGCGCCUCAAACCACUCCCAAUAGUUGGGACAACAUAUUGAAGAAUAAAUUAAUAUAUUGGGACACCCCAUGACCCCAAGGUGGGCCCAUUAGCGCCAAACAAUGGAUUAACGAUGGAUUAACCCGGUAAUGAAUGAAAACGCAUUAUUUUUCCAAACAAGCCUUAGGCAACUUGAAUGACUAUAAAUAGAAGUCUUUGCCCAUUCUUUUCAUUCUACCAAACUAAAAGCAAGAGAAGAGAGAAAGGAGACAGAGGAGAAGAGCAAGGGAGGAGGAAGAAGAGAGGAGCAAGGGGAGCAACCAUCUAAGGAGUAGAACCAAGAAGUGACAGGUCAACGAGGCACAAGGUCAUCGGCUGUCCACUGACACUUGAGAUUCAAGAUGUUGAUUCAGGUAACCAUCCGGAGUCUGUGGUUGAGGAGUCGGCCCUCUAUGGAGGUGACCUCUGGGAUGAGAAGCUAGCUAUGCACGAAGAUAGAUGUGUUUGUGAUGAUUGUGCAUUUGGAGCACGAUGUAGCCCUAGUGACAUAACCGUAAUUAUGACUUUCGCUGUGAAAACUCUUUUGGUAAAUAUGAUAAAUAUCAUUAGACAUCACCAGUUGUUUAUAUUUGAUUUUUAUCAUAUAUGUGAUUGUAGAUACAUUUCAUAACUUAAUGAACUUAAAGUAUUGCAU